AUUCAACUUAUUUAUAUAAAUAUUAAUUAUCAGCUUUAUAAUAAAUAAAUCUAUAUUAAAAAUUUAAAAUUCUAGUAUCACUCAUAAAAAAUAUAAAAUUAAAUAGCUAAAAGUAAUGUUAAUGAAAUCUAUAAAAUAUCUAUAAGUUUAAAUAAUUUAUUACCUUUUGCAUCAGGGAUAUUCUAAAUAAAUUAAUUAACUUAAUAUUCCCGAAUUAAAAUGAACUAAAUUUAUAUAAUAUUUUUUGUUUCAUUAAAAUUAUUAAUAUAAAUUUAGAGAUUAAAUGUUAUUCAAAUUUUAAUUUAUCUGGUUAACUUUUAAAAGAAUUCAAUUCUAAGUUAACUUUCCUAUAAUAAAUAAAUAUAUUAAUUAUUUAUAGAAGUUAACUAAAAAAUAUAUGGGUAACCUAUAUAUUUAAUAAUUAAUAGAAAAACAUAUUUAAUUUAAUAUUGUAUUCAUAAAAAUUUAUCUCAAUUUAAAAUAUUUUAUAAUUUAAUAUAAAUAAAAUAAAACUUUAAUAUUUCUAUAUUAAAAACUAAAAGUUUAAUUAAUUAAAUUAUAUAAUUAAAGAAAUAAUGAUUAUAUAAGUAGUUUAAAUUUAGUUAUAAAAAUAUAUUUUCAAUUUUUAAUAUAAAGUAAAGCUAAGGAACUCGGCAAAUAACAUUAUAUUCAAAUGUUUACCAAAAACAUUGUUUAAAGAUUAUUAAUUUUAAAUAAAUCUGCUCAAUGAACAAAUUAAAUAGCUGCAGUAUACCUGACUGUACUAAGGUAGCAUAAUAAAUUGCCUCUUAAUUAGGGGCUAGAAUGAAAGAAUUAAUGAAAUAUAAACUGUCUCAGCUAUAUAAUAUUAAAUUAAAAUUUAAGUUAAAAUGCUUAAAUUUAAUUAUAAGACGAUAAGACCCUAUAGAAUUUUAUAUUUAAAUUAAUAUUAAUAAUAGUUUUAAUUAAUUAUCAUAUUAAUUAUAAAUAUUUAACUGGGGGGGUUGGUAAAUUUAAUAAACUUUACUUUUUAAAAACUUUGAUCUUAGUAAAAAUUAAGAUCUUCUAAUAGAAAUCAUUAAAAUAAAUUACCUUAGGGAUAACAGCGUAAUUUCUUUAGAGAGAUCAUAUCCACAAAGAAGAUUGCGACCUCGAUGUUGAAUUAAGAUUAAUUUUAAAUGCAGAAGUUUAAGUAUUAAGUCUGUUCGACUUUUAAAAUCUUACAUGAUUUGAGUUCAGAUCGACGUAAGUCAGAUCGGUUUCUAUCUAUAAUAAAAAAUUAAUUUUUUGUACGAAAGGACCAAAAUUAAUAAAUAAUUUAAUAUAUAUACAUAUAUAAUUAAUAUAAUAAUUAAUA
rnacentral:rRNA from 1 species